rnacentral:rRNA from 1 species
CACGUAAGGCGCAAGCGUUGUCCGGAAUUAUUGGGCGUAAAGAGCUCGUAGGCGGUCUGUUACGUCUGCUGUGAAAACCCGGGGCUUAACCCUGGGCUUGCAGUGGAUACGGGUAGACUAGAGGCAGGUAGGGGAGAAUGGAAUUCCCGGUGUAGCGGUGAAAAUGCGUAGAUAUUGGGAGGAACACCAGUGGCGAAGGCGGCUCACUGGACCGGUACUGACGCUGAUGCGCGAAAGCGUGGGGAGCAAACGGGG